rnacentral:tRNA from 1 species
UAAUUCACUUGGUAGAACACUCCACUGGAAACGGAGAGGUCCCGGGUUCGAUACCCGG